rnacentral:rRNA from 1 species
UGAACGCUGGCGGCAUGCCUAACACAUGCAAGUCGAACGAAGGCUUCGGCCUUCGUGGCGCACGGGUGCGUAACGCGUGGGAAUCUACCCUUAGGUUCGGAAUAACAGUUGGAAACGACUGCUAAUACCGGAUGAUGACGUAAGUCCAAAGAUUUAUCGCCUAGGGAUGAGCCCGCGUAGGAUUAGCUAGUUGGUGUGGUAAAGGCGCACCAAGGCGACGAUCCUUAGCUGGUCUGAGAGGAUGAUCAGCCACACUGGGACUGAGACACGGCCCAGACUCCUACGGGAGGCAGCAGUGGGGAAUAUUGGACAAUGGGCGAAAGCCUGAUCCAGCAAUGCCGCGUGAGUGAUGAAGGCCUUAGGGUUGUAAAGCUCUUUUACCCGGGAUGAUAAUGACAGUACCGGGAGAAUAAGCUCCGGCUAACUCCGUG